rnacentral:sRNA from 20 species
CGCUAUACUAGCCAGUGUGACAGCCGGUCCAGCGCCUUCGGACCGGUUUUUUAUGUAU